rnacentral:piRNA from 1 species
ACCACUGGAAAUAAUAGCUGGAAACUUGC